rnacentral:rRNA from 1 species
GGAUUAGAUACCCUGGUAGUCCACGCCGUAAACGAUGUCAACUAGCCGUUGGGGGGGUUACCCUUUAGUGGCGCAGCUAACGCGAUAAGUUGACCGCCUGGGGAGUACGGUCGCAAGAUUAAAACUCAAAGGAAUUGACGGGGGCCCGCACAAGCGGUGGAGCAUGUGGUUUAAUUCGAUGCAACGCGAAGAACCUUACCUACCCUUGACAUUGACAGAACCCUUUGGAGACAGAGGGGUGCCUUCGGGCCUGGAAAACAGGUGCUGCAUGGCUGUCGUCAGCUCGUGUUG